rnacentral:tRNA from 1 species
UGGGGUUAUAGUAUACCGGCAGUACGAACGGCUCCAGACCGUUAAGACGGGGUUCGAUUCCCCGUAACCCCAG